CCCUGAGGGGGAAAGAUUUAUCGCUAUAAGAUUAGCCCGCGUCAGAUUAGCUAGUUGGUGGGGUAAUGGCCUACCAAGGCAACGAUCUGUAGCUGGUCUGAGAGGAUGAUCAGCCACAUUGGGACUGAGACACGGCCCAAACUCCUACGGGAGGCAGCAGUAGGGAAUAUUGGACAAUGGGCGAAAGCCUGAUCCAGCAAUGCCGCGUGAGUGAUGAAGG
rnacentral:rRNA from 1 species